GAUGAACGCUGGCGGCGUGCUUAACACAUGCAAGUCGAACGGAAAGGCCCAAGCUUGCUUGGGUACUCGAGUGGCGAACGGGUGAGUAACACGUGGGUGAUCUGCCCUGCACUUCGGGAUAAGCCUGGGAAACUGGGUCUAAUACCGGAUAGGACGAUGGUUUGGAUGCCAUUGUGGAAAGUUUUUUCGGUGUGGGAUGAGCUCGCGGCCUAUCAGCUUGUUGGUGGGGUAAUGGCCUACCAAGGCGUCGACGGGUAGCCGGCCUGAGAGGGUGUACGGCCACAUUGGGAAUGAGAUACGGCCCAGACUCCUACGGGAGGCAGCAGUGGGGAAUAUUGCACAAUGGGCGCAAGCCUGAUGCAGCGACGCCGCGUGGGGGAUGACGGCCUUCGGGUUGUAAACUCCUGUCGCUAGGGACGAAGCGUUUUUGUGACGGUACCUGGAGAAGAAGCACCGGCUAACUACGUG
rnacentral:rRNA from 1 species